CUGCUCACAAAGGGGAGUCCAUAUGGGCUGAGAUUGAGUGUUACUCUCUAAACCCUUCGUACCUGUUUCGACCAUUCGAACGUAGGAAUUGUGACGAGUUGAAGU
rnacentral:ncRNA from 2 species